rnacentral:misc_RNA from 1 species
ACAGAUACAUUGUCUGACUUCUGCAGGAGGCAACUUUUGAUGGUGAGAACACAGGUACAUCGACAUCUCUAAAGUUUGCCGUUAGGGUCUGCAUUUUUGACAUCUGGUCUCUCUCUCUCUCUCUCUCUCUUUACUUUUGCUGUAACAAUGAAUCAAUGAUUGCUUCAAAGACUCAUUUGGGUUGGUGCACGAAUCCUGGUGAGGAACCUAUAAAAAAUUUUAAUAUAUAUUGCAAAUGUUAUAAUAUUUAAGUGCUAAAUUUUAACAUAGA